rnacentral:rRNA from 1 species
UACGUAGGGUGCGAGCGUUGUCCGGAUUUAUUGGGCGUAAAGGGCUCGUAGGCGGCGUGUCGCGUCGGGGAGUGAAAGCCCGCUGCUUAACGGCGGGUUGGCUUCCGGUACGGGCAUCGCUGGAGUCCGGAAGAGGAGAGUGGAAUUCCCGGUGUAGCGGUGAAAUGCGCAGAUAUCGGGAAGAACACCCGUGGCGAAGGCGGCUCUCUGGGACGGUACUGACGCUGAGACGCGAAAGCGUGGGGAGCGAACAGG